AUGAAUCUCCUGAGUUGGAACUGCCGGGGAGGGGGGAACUCACGGACAGUUCGUGAUUUAGCGACUAUGGUUCAGUCGCAUUCCCCCAGCAUGGUGUUUCUAUGUGAAACUCGGCAAUCAAAAAAUCGUAUGAAAAGAUAUCGAGCUCGUUUGGGACUUCAAGGUUUUGAUGCAGUAGACAGUAUUGGUAAUAGUGGUGGCUUGGCGCUGUUUUGGCACGAAUUGCUGUCUGUUGAGGUGGUUUUCUCGAAUCAGCGAUGCAUUGAUGCACCGGUUAAGGCAGGAGCAGAUGAUCCACCUUGGCGCCUAACUUGUGUUUAUGGAGAACCAAGGGUAGAAGAUCGACACAAUAUGUGGUCUCUGUUGGAAAAUUUGGGUGCUCAGUCUGAUCUCCCCUGGCUUGUGGUUGGUGAUUUUAAUGAAUGCAUGUGGGAUUUUGAACACUUCUCGAUGACACCACGACCAGCUGGGUAA
rnacentral:rRNA from 1 species